CUGGGGUUGGUGUAACUGCUGUAUUUGAAGUUGGAGUAGUUGCGUUGUCUGUUGUGGUCAGGGUUUGAGUAGCUGUUGUGCUUGUCACUGGGGUUGAUGUAGCUGCUGUACUUGGAGUAGCUGUGUUGACUGUUGUGGUCAGGGUCUGAGUAGCUGCUGUGCUUGUAGUUGGCAUAGCUGCGUUGUCUGUUGCUUUGCCAUCAGAUCCAGAGACAUUUUUUUCCCUUUGAAGGUGCUGGAUAGUGUUGAGCAGGGCUCUGUAGGCAUAGGCCAAGCCCCAGCACGUUGCCGAAAUUUGUCCCUCUCUGGUAUAACCAGGACGACAGCACACCUCGUUUAAGUGUUUUACUAGUUUUUCCGGAUGUUGCACUUGUUCAGUGGUGAAGUUCCAAAGCACUGGAGGGGCCCACUGGCCUAGGUACUUGCCCAUACUAUCCCACACACCCUGCCACUCAUAACUGUCCAGCCUCAGGGAAAAUCUCCUGGUGGUCCUCCUAUAUCGUCGUCUAACCCUAGACCAGAUUCGAACCUGAUACUGCUGAAUUUUUGACAUUAAACGAAAUAGGAUGUUCCUACGACGGGAUGGCCGUGGGUAAAACACACUCCGUAUGUUUGCCAACAUGCUGAUCCCCAGCACAAUCAGCAGGCAGGUUUCAAGGGUACUCAAAGGCCAUCUAAAACCUUCAGAACUCUCAACUGCUGUUGCAAAUAGGCUGGUGGGGGAACGGGGAGUGAAAGAGAAUGCUUCCUUCGUAAGUUUACCCCCCGAGGAGAAAAAAAAAGAUAUGCAAUUGCUAAAAUAUUUCAUUAUAUACCUCCCAAUGUAUAGUGGUGAUGGCCAUGCUGGAAGCACAAACCAGACCAGUUUCAUGAUCAAUGAGUCUAUUGUACUACAAGUCAUUACCAUGAAGUACAGUGAAACAAGAACCUUAGCCCAGGCCCCCCAGCCGAUAAACGCUAAAACAGCAAAUAGUGGCUGUAAGUAAGGUACAAUAUGCUGAAAUUCUGAGAUCAAGCGCAACAAGUCUGAGAGCCAAAUAAUCACCAUUGUGACGAGUAGUAACAAUGAAUUCUUAUCACAAAUAUGAUUAAACACACUCUGGUCAGAUCUGUCGUUAUCUCAACCUUUCGUGCCCCACGUUGGGUGCCAAAAAGAACUGUCGUGGUUUGAGCCCAGCCGGUAACUCAGAACCACACAGCCGCUCGCUCACUCCCCC
rnacentral:lncRNA from 1 species